rnacentral:rRNA from 1 species
GCUCAGGACGAACGCUGGCGGCGUGCCUAAUACAUGCAAGUCGAGCGGACCGACGGGAGCUUGCUCCCUUAGGUCAGCGGCGGACGGGUGAGUAACACGUGGGUAACCUGCCUGUAAGACUGGGAUAACUCCGGGAAACCGGGGCUAAUACCGGAUGCUUGAUUGAACCGCAUGGUUCAAUCAUAAAAGGUGGCUUUUAGCUACCACUUACAGAUGGACCCGCGGCGCAUUAGCUAGUUGGUGAGGUAACGGCUCACCAAGGCGACGAUGCGUAGCCGACCUGAGAGGGUGAUCGGCCACACUGGGACUGAGACACGGCCCAGACUCCUACGGGAGGCAGCAGUAGGGAAUCUUCCGCAAUGGACGAAAGUCUGACGGAGCAACGCCGCGUGAGUGAUGAAGGUUUUCGGAUCGUAAAACUCUGUUGUUAGGGAAGAACAAGUACCGUUCGAAUAGGGCGGCACCUUGACGGUACCUAACCAGAAAGCCACGGCUAACUACGUGCCAGCAGCCGCGGUAAUACGUAGGUGGCAAGCGUUGUCCGGAAUUAUUGGGCGUAAAGCGCGCGCAGGCGGUUUCUUAAGUCUGAUGUGAAAGCCCCCGGCUCAACCGGGGAGGGUCAUUGGAAACUGGGGAACUUGAGUGCAGAAGAGGAGAGUGGAAUUCCACGUGUAGCGGUGAAAUGCGUAGAGAUGUGGAGGAACACCAGUGGCGAAGGCGACUCUCUGGUCUGUAACUGACGCUGAGGCGCGAAAGCGUGGGGAGCGAACAGGAUUAGAUACCCUGGUAGUCCACGCCGUAAACGAUGAGUGCUAAGUGUUAGAGGGUUUCCGCCCUUUAGUGCUGCAGCAAACGCAUUAAGCACUCCGCCUGGGGAGUACGGUCGCAAGACUGAAACUCAAAGGAAUUGACGGGGGCCCGCACAAGCGGUGGAGCAUGUGGUUUAAUUCGAAGCAACGCGAAGAACCUUACCAGGUCUUGACAUCCUCUGACAACCCUAGAGA